rnacentral:rRNA from 1 species
AACGCUAGCGGGAUGCUUUACACAUGCAAGUCGAACGGCAGCACGAGAGAGCUUGCUCUCUUGGUGGCGAGUGGCGGACGGGUGAGUAAUAUAUCGGAACGUGCCCAGUAGCGGGGGAUAACUACUGGAAAGAGUGGCUAAUACCGCAUACGCCCUACGGGGGAAAGGGGGGGAUCGCAAGACCUCUCACUAUUGGAGCGGCCGAUAUCGGAUUAGCUAGUUGGUGGGGUAAAGGCUCACCAAGGCAACGAUCCGUAGCUGGUUUGAGAGGACGACCAGCCACACUGGGACUGAGACACGGCCCAGACUCCUACGGGAGGCAGCAGUGGGGAAUUUUGGACAAUGGGGGAAACCCUGAUCCAGCCAUCCCGCGUGUAUGAUGAAGGCCUUCGGGUUGUAAAGUACUUUUGGCAGAGAAGAAAAGGCAUCCCCUAAUACGGGAUGCUGCUGACGGUAUCUGCAG